rnacentral:rRNA from 1 species
CCCUUAGAUGUUCUGGGCCGCACGCGCGCUACACUGUUCGACGCAGCGAGUCUUAACCUUGACCGAAAGGUUUGGGUAAUCUUCAGCAAAGUCGAACGUGAUGGGGAUCGAUCAUUGCAAUUAUUGAUCGUGAACGAGGAAUUCCUAGUAAGUGCAAGUCAUCAGCUUGCGCUGAUUACGUCCCCGCCCUUUGUACACACCGCCCGUCGCUACUACCGAUUGAAUGGUUUAGUGAGAUCUCUGGAUUGACGCUGGCUAGGGGGCGACCCUUGGCCAGACUGUUGAGAAACUGCUCAAACUUGAUCAUUUAGAGGAAGUAAAAGUCGUAACA